rnacentral:siRNA from 1 species
CCCGGUUGCUGUGGUUACUGCUUC